rnacentral:rRNA from 1 species
CGGCGGACGGGUGAGUAACGCGUGGGUAACCUGCCUCAUACAGGGGGAUAACAGUUAGAAAUGACUGCUAAUACCGCAUAAGACCACAGCACCGCAUGGUGCGGGGGUAAAAACUCCGGUGGUAUGAGAUGGACCCGCGUCUGAUUAGCUGGUUGGUGGGGUAACGGCCCACCAAGGCGACGAUCAGUAGCCGGCCUGAGAGGGUGAUCGGCCACAUUGGAACUGAGACACGGUCCAA